rnacentral:rRNA from 1 species
GACGAACGCUGGCGGCGUGCUUAACACAUGCAAGUCGAACGGAAAGGCCCCGCUUUUGUGGGGUGCUCGAGUGGCGAACGGGUGAGUAACACGUGAGUAACCUGCCCUUGACUUUGGGAUAACUUCAGGAAACUGGGGCUAAUACCGGAUAGGUGCUCCUGCUGCAUGGUGGUGGUUGGAAAGUUUCGGCGGUUGGUGAUGGACUCGCGGCUUAUCAGCUUGUUGGUUGGGUAGUGGCUUACCAAGGCUUUGACGGGUAGCCGGCCUGAGAGGGUGACCGGCCACAUUGGGACUGAGAUACGGCCCAGACUCCUACGGGAGGCAGCAGUGGGGAAUAUUGCACAAUGGGCGGAAGCCUGAUGCAGCAACGCCGCGUGCGGGAUGACGGCCUUCGGGUUGUAAACCGCUUUCGCCUGUGACGAAGCGUGAGUGACGGUAAUGGGUAAAGAAGCACCGGCUAACUACGUG